GGGGAUAUAGCUCAGUGGUAGAGCACUUGCCUAGCAAGCGCAAGGUCUGGGUUCGGUCCCCAGCUCCG
rnacentral:tRNA from 1 species